rnacentral:lncRNA from 1 species
AUGGAGCAUCUCACCCUGCAGGGCCCAGAGGGAUGGACUAACUUCUGUGUUGGCUGUAGAGCCAGGGCCAGCGUCUUAGCCUGUUUCUUUCCCUUUCUCCCCAUCUUGUUCAGCUUAUUUCAUCAGAUGCCCUCAGACACAAUGGAGUUGUUGGGUCACAUGCCUGAGGUCCGGCAGGCUCUGGGCAGACUGACCAGUGACCUUGGAGCCCAGCAGCCCUGCCAGGGUGGUGUCAUGGCCACUAUGGACGGCCUCCCAAGGCGGCAGCCUGCCUUUGAACACUUCAACCUGAUCUGUUUCCCUGAAGGAGGAGCAAGCCAAGAAGAUGGAUGCCAUUCACACGUGUGCCCCUGGGGUGUAAGACUGUGGCGACGAAGGCUUGUCACCCCCACCCUCUACCCUGCUCAGUGUUUCGUCUGACAAUCCAAAGCACCACCAGAGGACCCCAGGGAAAAGAUAAAGCCAGCCCGAUGGAGCCAUCAAAAUUAUGGAAUGUCCACUUUGGAAGCUGUGAAACUUAAUUUAUGCUUCUGUUACUUCUGCUACUGUCACAUCAGGAUAUUACAUCAAGACGGAGAAGAAAACAGAAAAAUAAUCAGUGUAAGUCACGGAGAGACCCACUAUUUGAAUACUCACGAACUCUGUGCUUGGCCAAGCAUGAGUCGGCCACCCUUGUGAGCCAAGUUUCCUUUAUCAGGAAGUCUUUGACUAGAGGUCAGAGCAAGUAUUUGAAAUGACCUGGAGGCAGAUCCUAGGAGAGGAGGUGUCCCGGAGCCAUAAUAUCUCAAGAGACUAACUAAAUGGCAGCCGUUUGUGAUACAGUCUCCCCAGAUCUGUCUCAAACAUUUUGGAAACCAUUUCUGCUUGCUCUCAUGCCCUCUCUUGGGAGUUAUUAGUGCCUUAUGUCUAUUAACCAUUGUGUGAUGUGGCUUUUCUCUCCACACUGUGGCGAGGCAGCCAUGAAACCCCUCCCUUCCCAGGGGAAGCAGAGACUCUGGCUUUGUGAGGAGGCCAGAGUGAGGCAUCUGGGGAGGUGAGGGCAGCUUCUUGUUAGGGGCUAAGAAUGAGAGUGUCUGGUGAGUUCCCUGUCCUCAGAGGGUGUGUGCUGUCAGGGGCAAGGUAAUCCCUAGUGGGAGGCGGAGGGGCCUGGAGACCAGGAGAUUCGGGAAUGGAGCAAAGCUACUCCACCUCUAUUGGUGAUCAAAGAAGAGGUUGAACUGGUGCAGUUGAACCUGAAGGAAGAUGGGGUUUAGACCUACAUCAGUUCAGUUCAGUCGCUCAGUCGUGUCCGACUCUUUGCGACCCCAUGAACCGCAGCAUGCCAGGCCUCCCUGUCCAUCACCAACUCCCAGAGUUCACUCAGACUCACGUCCAUUGAGUCAGUGAUGCCAUCCAGCCAUCUCAUCCUCUGUCGUCCCCU